GGCCGUAGCCAAAAGUGAAGGCGGAGGCCUGCAAAGCCUGCGUCGGCGGUUCGAGUCCGCCCGACGCCG
rnacentral:tRNA from 1 species